GUCCUCGUAGCUCAGCAGGAUAGAGCGUCAGUUUCCUAAACUGUAGGUCGGAGGUUCGAAUCCUCUCGGGGACG
rnacentral:tRNA from 1 species